CUGUGGUACAUUCAUUUUAAUAGUUCCUCAUGUAUGUGUAUAUAUACAGUUACACAUAACGCUAAUAUUACCUAAUAUAAUGUGUUUUCUUGGCAUUUCCAUACAACAUCAUCAUUCUGUCCAAUCAAGAUGCACGAUACAUAUAAAACUUGGGUAAUUUGUAAUGGGUUGUUUGAUUGGCUAUACAGCUCUUCCUCUAUACACACACAUUCCUCACAAUGUUCAUUUCCCCGACAAGAAAUAGUUAAAAUGGACACAUUUCUUCCAUAGUAGAGAGGAACUUCCAGUGUAGGUCAAGUGCUCUCUAUCUAACUGGACCUUCCCUUUCCACAAAGACAAAGGGCAUGUGCUUAUAUAAUAACCCUACCCGUCCUCCACCACAGUAAUGGUCUAGUCCAUACAUUUCUAGUUGAACAUGAUUCAUAUACCCCUUCCCCCUCCCUCUCUCAUGUCCCUACAACCCUGAACUGGUCCACUAUUACAGGGAGGACAAGGUGAUCAACACAAGUUUAUACAUUUUCAUCCCUAGCUCUAUUUGUACAUCAAUUAAUACAUUAACCUGUCCACCUCUGUAAAGCACAAUGAACGGUCAAGUCCAGACCAGUCCAUGGAUGGAAGGGGAGAGCAAACUGAUAAAGUAUAUACGGUACACAACACUUAGAAUGUAUUAUAACAGAUAAUCAACGGCUACCAGACUUCUGACACUCCACACCCUACAUCUGUUCACAUAGACAAACAGAACAAGUCUUAUUUGGAAAAAAAUUGCAGAGAAAUUAUUAUUUAAGAUGACCGGAAAUCUUUUUGAUUAAAAAUUCUUCUUAUGUUGACUUGAGUUGCAUCUGACAUAAGUGUUCAGUUGCUAAUAAGUUUUGUAUUUAGUCUAGCAUUAAACAGCCGUGCCGUGUGACUAUAAGCUUGGUGCCGCCAUGACGACACAAGGUGAUUCACAAUAAAUAAUCCUACUCUACAGGCCACAGACGCUAUAAAUACACCUUGACAUUAAAAAUCUCAUCAAAACAUGGAAAAUGUGUCUCAAAUCAAGAUAACAAAAGUAUAUCAUAAAAGAAAGAAAAUGAGGGUGAACCCCUAUGUCAACUCACAGCACUUACAUACAAUAUUUGAUCCCGAGCAAGCACUUGAUGAACUAUUGACCUUUGACCCGGCAGAGUUUAACGUCAAUAUAGACGUACAUGAGCACAGCAGGAUGCAGUGACCGAAAACAAAACAAUCUAUAAAUAUAUCUCAUCAGACUACAAUGUAAAAAGCUUCAGCAAAGAAACCUCAAGAAAAUUCAAACCGACUUUUUUGAAUCACAAUUAACUGUGUGGACAGGAGACUUGCAGUGCUCUUCCGGUCAGCUCAAGACACAAUCAAAGAGGAAAAAACACUACAAGUUGUCCUUCUCAUACCUCUUAGGGAUUACCAGGUAUUUUAACACUAGGAGCCCUUAGGGAUUACCAGGUAUUUUAACACUAGGAGCCCUUAGGGAUUACCAGGUAUUUUAACACUAGGAGCCCUUAGGUAUUACCAGGUAUUUUAACAGUAGGAGCCCUUAGGGAUUACCAGGUAUUUUAACAGUAGGAGCCCUUAGGAAUUACCAGGUAUUUUAACACUAGGAGCCCUUAGGAAUUACCAGGUAUUUUAACACUAGGAGCCCUUAGGGCUUCAAGUACAGGUACUUGUUCUCUACAAGCCAAGUAAAUGUGUACAAACCUGUUCUAUGAUGUGACUGGCUUGUUAGA
rnacentral:lncRNA from 1 species